UACGUAGGGACCGAGCGUUGUCCGGAAUCAUUGGGCGUAAAGAGCGUGUAGGCGGCUAUUUAAGUCCUGCGUGAAAUCCUGCGGCUCAACCGCAGACGGUCGUGGGAAACUGGAUGGCUAGAGUGCGUGAGAGGAGAGUGGAAUUCCCGGUGUAGCGGUGAAAUGCGCAGAUAUCGGGAAGAACACCCGUGGCGAAGGCGGCUCUCUGGAACGCAACUGACGCUGAGACGCGAAAGCGUGGGGAGCGAACAGG
rnacentral:rRNA from 1 species